AAAACAGGGAGAGCAAAGAUCAAAGCCAGGACAGAGGUUGGAGGCUGUGAUCAUUAGUGAGGAUGCAGUGAAAAGGUGGAGCGUGUCGUCAAUGACGUCAGACUUUUCAAGACUUUGUAGCAACCUUGACAUAAGCGGAAUGAUUUUGAACUCAUGCUCAGUGAUGAACCAGGUGAGCUUUCUACUGAAGCACUUCAGACCUCUUUGGGGACCAAGUUUCUGAAGGCGAUCCGAUGUGUGCAGGCAUUUUAAAGCAGCUGACUGAAUCUGUGGCGAGGCGUCCCGCUGACUUUCGGUCUGAAGGCAGCUAUAAAAUGACUUUAGCAUGCAAUAUCAUCAUCUUUUUAACAAUCAGCUCUUUUUCUUUUUAGGUCAUGUGCUGCUGAAUCAAAAUGGUUCAGCUGGGUGCCAGCGCUGCAAGACAGAAAACAGCUUAGCUCGGUACUUUCUGUGCUCCACCCGCACAUUAGCUUCUGUUCAUAGGGGAAGCAACAGGAUUUUUUAAAGGUUCAUGUGAGACAACAAUGUGGUUCAGUAAACAAACUAGAUUACAAGCUUACACCAAACCUCAACAUUUCCCUGGAGUUUAGCAUUCUGGCUUCUACCGUAAAGGCGUAGAGUUUCUAAAUUAGCCUGGAAAAUCUUUAGUUGACUUCUUUUGCAGUCAAAUGAAGCAGCUCAUUUAAAUACAGGCAUCUUUCCAGGUUUCUGUUUAACCAAGAACCACUGAUCUUUUCAAAUUUUAUUUUUAUUAAUAGUAUUUUAUAACAAAGCACGCUGACAGAUGCCACUCAAAGCAUUCAUUUGAUUUAACUGAGCAAACAAACGUUGAUCCCUGAGUUUCAGGACAAAAGAAUUUGUCUCUGAAUGUCCUUAAACCAUCUCUGUGAUGUUUGAGGUCACAUUGGAAGAAGAGCUGAAGUUCAGAUCUGAACAAACUUACUUGAGUCUGUGAACAGUCAAUAUUUCAGGUCAGAGGUGGCGAAA